GCUAAGGAUAAAGCUCAGUGGUAAGAGUGCAUGCUUAGCAUGUUUAAGAUCCUGGGUUCAAUCCCCAGUACUGCA
rnacentral:tRNA from 1 species